UAUUAUAAAACUAUUAUAUAUAAGCAUGUUUUUUAUAGAAAAUAGAACAAAAGAAACAAAAAUAGGAAUUAUAUAUUUCUUUAAAAAAGAAAAAAGAUUAUUUUGAUGGUGGAUUGGUGUAAUUACGCCUGAAUUUUCCAACGCCAUCUAACAAUCUGUCCUGGAAAUAGAAAACUGAUAGAGAAAUAAUAGUGCUGUUCUUAUUAGACGUAUAAGGUUAAGUUAUCUUAAUUUUAUAAUCAAUCUUUGUUUAAAAAAUAGAUUGAUAGAUACGUUUGAUCCUAUGGCUUGUUAUAGUGAUAUACUUUCGUUAUGUGUAACAAUUAUGUUAAGUUAAUACCAAUAUGCAAGAAAAUCAUUUGCAUAAUCAUAUUUUCAAUAUAUAUAGAUAUAUCAUAAAAUAAUAUUUUACUAUAAUGUCUUUAUUACGAAUUAUUCGAUAUAACGAAUUAUUCGUUACUUUUCCGUUAACUGCAAGAGAAUUCCUUUUGAGUAAUUCGUCCAAAAGAAAAAGCAAUGUCGUCGUUCAAUUCAAGAAAGACUUCAACGCCAUAGUUAGUUCAUCUAUUAAACAAGAGUACAAGAAACAAAAGAUUCUAUCAAACAUUUAUAAAGUUGGUUGAAGAACAUUAGCAACAGAUGCAACUUAACAUUAAAAAUAAAUAUGAAACAAAUUUCAAGCAAAUAAACAAGAUAAUGAAGUAACAAGAGAUACUGACCAGUCGCAUUUUUCAUGGAAAGACUUUUUGGAGUAUUUAUAUCCACAUACUUGUUAUUUAUUGAUUUCUUUGUCAGUAAGUAUGAAAAUAUUAAUAAAAAGUAAAUUAAGCGUACACAAUACAAUUAUCUUCCUUCAAAUGUUCAUAAAAAUGAUAUAACAAAAAAUACUCUAAUCAAAUUAGAUUAUAGAUAUAAAAUUUAUUUAUCGACCAACAGAAAUUAAAUUUAUUAGGUAAUAUAAAUUUAAUUAAUUGUGCAAGUGUUGCGGUACCGGAUGAGAUAUUUUCUACCGUCUUCGUGUAAAUCCAUAUUGUUUCACUACAUACUGUAUAUUUUUUUAUUUGUAGAGCGCCCUAAUGGUUACAAUGUUAAAUUCUUGGAUACUGCAGUCUAUCGGUAAUAUCAUAAAUAUAUUGACAAAAAUAUACCAAGACAAAAAAAAAAUGAUUCUACAUUGAAUACUUUGGAAAUACUUCUUAGACCACCAUUUGUGCUGGCACAUAUAUAUGUUGCACAAGUAUGCACAUUUUAUAUAUCUUCCAAAAUUUCAAAUAUGUAUUCAAAAUAUGUACAUCGCAAGGCUAAAGAAGUUCUACACAAUUUAUUGAUCGUGUUAUUUCCAUAAUAAUGUUAUAGCCUCAGCUGAGAGUAUCAAUGUUAUUACGUAUGUCAACAGUUUUAUAUUUAUUGGUAAUCUAUUAGGAAAAAACUUGCGUAAUUUUUCUACAAAAACUCAAAAUCAAAUUGUGGAAGCUGCUGUUUGUGAAGAAGCUAUCCAAAAUAUACCAACGGUAAAAGCGUUUGCAGCAGGAAAUCAAGAAAAAGAAGUACUUUCUAAAGAAGUUGAACAUGCAACUGAGUUAUAUGAAAAUUUAGAAUUUUGAUAUUGGUUUGUUUUUUUAGCAGGAACAGAUUUAUUUUGAAAUAGUAUUUUGCUUCGUUCAUUGUACUUUAGUGAUCAUUUAAUAUCUAUUGGGCAAUUAACAUUUGGCGAACUUAUGGCAUUUUUCAUGGCAACUGAAAUAGUUCAAAGAUUUUUCUCUCAAUUAUCUUUAUUGCUUGGAGAACAUACGUAAUAGGAAUCAGUUCAAGUGCCUAAUUUGAAAUUUAUUUUAUGAUACUUAAAUAUGCCAACAACGCCAAUGGUAGUCGGAGAAAAGAUAAGAAAGGACUCUCAGGGAAUAUAGAAUUGAAAAAUGUGCAAUUUAACUAUCCAACUUGGUCGAAUCAAGUUAUUUUGAAGAAUUUUAUUUUGGAUAUUAAUAUAUGCAUAAAAAUUUUAAUAUUUUUUCAAACUAUUUCAUUAUAUAUUAUGCAUUAUUAAAUGUUAUAGAUCGUAAAAGCGACGAAAGAAGUUAAUGCUCGUGAAUUCAUUACAAAAUUUCCAUAUAGUUAUGAGAUCUAAAUUGGCAAAAGAGAUGCUAUAUUAACUGGUUGAUUGAAGCAACCAUCAAUCUUUGUAUUAGUUGAAGCAAUGAUGUAUAAAAGGACUAAAUAUUGAUAAUUUAUCUCGUAUCUUAUCUUGUAUUCUAUAUGAAUUUUCUAUUUUAGCUUUUUGGAUUAUUAAAGUAAAAGAAUAGUUUACAAUGCAUUAGCAAAUGUAACCUAAGGUAGAACAGUGUUGGUUAUUACUGAUAGACUAAGUACUAUUAACGCUUGUUGUGUACUUGGAGUGUAGGACAUUUUAGACCAACUUUAAACUCAAUUUAAAUGAAGUUAACCCUUUGCACUCAGAGCUAUUUUCGUGCGAAUGAAUCAGCAACUGGAGACAUUUUGUCGCGCUUUUGAUAAAUUUCUUACUUCUAACUUAAAAUGAUUAAACACACAAAUUAUCCUAUCAAACUUUUAUAUUUUAACAUUUUAUGUAUCUUUACAUCUUUACGAAGAUAAUUUCUUAAACAUUAGUCUUUGUAAUUUUUCUUUGUAUAAUAUUUCAUAUAACAAUUGCCGAGAUGGAUUCCCAGCUUUUCGGGACAAGUAUUACAAUAGUAUGUUGUUUGAUAUCUUUUGCCGACUUUAUUUUUUUGAGAACAGACUUUACAAUCCUUCCUAAUUCUUGUUAGAAUGUUAUGCGGUUUUCCAUUCAGACGGAUCUUUUCGGAAUCAGAGGUUGAGGUUGAAGUUCGAUCACUAUUAUCAUCACUGCUCGUGUUCUCUCUAUCGUCAAGCUCUCUGAGUAUAGAUGUAAUUUCUUCGUUAAGUAACGUUACAUCAAACUCAUCUUCAAUUGACUAAGUUUCAUGCUUAUGGGGAUCAGAAAGUUCAAUUUUUAUAAUCCUUUUGUCACGACUUUCAAGUUCGAACUAAGACCGAUAAUGAAGUCCGGUUGAUGGUUGCGCAUUAAUUUCAAAUAAGAAAACAAUAUUUCCAUUUGAAACGAAGUUUGUUAUCUUCGUAACAUUAUACAGGAAGAGCUUAGGAACACAAUUGAAUGAAAGAAAACAAAAAGUUCUCACUGUGCAUCGAAUUUCUACAUCGAAACAAAGUGGUGAGCGAGUAUCUCACCUCUCGAAUUGCGGCAUUAAAUCAUGUGGUGAAUGAAAGUCAUUUCUCCAGUGCAAAGGGUUAAUGUUUGUCAUUAGGAUUUCUACAAUCAUUUAUCUGUAGUUGAGAUAUGUAUCGUUAUAUACCAAUCGAUAGAAUAGUCCGCGUUGUAUCACAGUCGCUGAGUUGUGAUCGAGUAAAUUUAAAAUUUGUAAAAUCUGAAGUGUACCACAUCCUGUGUGCACAAAUCCCGUGUGUAAAUUAUUUUUGCAUUAAUUUUUGAUUUUCUAUUAUUAAAAAUUUUUAGUCCAUUCAUGCUCUAAGUAAUGUAAUCCUUCAUUUAAAUGUGAUAGAAAUUAUUUUCUAAUUUUAUAUAUCAUUCAUAUUCAAAAUCAAAUGUAAUCGAUGAGAAUGGAAAACUACCUAUUAUACAGUACUAUAAUAAAAAUAAAAGAAUCGACUCUUUUGAUCAGUUAUGUCAUUUAUUCACUGUUUAACUCAUUCGA